rnacentral:rRNA from 1 species
AGUACCCGCUGAACUUAGCAUAUCAAUAAGCGGAGGAAAAGAUACAACAGGGAUUGCCCUAGUAACGGCGAGUGAGCGGCAACAGCUCAAAUUUGAAAUCCGGGCCCCGGCCCGAGUUGUAAUUUGGAGAGGACGCCUUCUGGCGAGGCCCCUUUCCGAGUCCACUGGAACGUGGCGCCACAGAGGGUGACAGCCCCGUACGGUCGGGCGCCGAGCCUGUGCGAAGCUCCUUCGACGAGUCGAGUAGUUUGGGAUUGCUGCUCUAAAUGGGAGGUACAUUCCUUCUAAGGCUAAAUAUAGGCCAGAGACCGAUAGCGCACAAGUAGAGUGAUCGAAAGAUGAAAAGCACUUUGGAAAGAGGGUCAAACAGCACGUGAAAUUGUUGAAAGGGAAGCGCUCGUGGCUAGACGUGCGGCAGGGCGAUCGCCCGGCGUUCUCGCCGGCGCACUCGCCCCCGCCGCAGGCCAGCGUCGGUUCCCGCCGGGGGGAGAAAGGCCCCGGGAACGUGGCUCCUCCGGGAGCGUUAUAGCCCGGGGCGUAAUGCCCCCGCGGGGACCGAGGUCCGCGCCCUGCAAGGACGCUGGCGUAAUAGCCACCGGCGGCCCGUCUUGAAACACGGACCAAGGGAGUCAAGGUCUUUGCGCGAGUGGUUUCGGGUGUAAAACCCGCGCGCGUAAUGAAAGUGAACGCAGGUGGGAGAGCCUUCGGCGCACCAACCCGACCGAUCCUGAUGUUCUCGGAUUGGGAUUUGAGUAGGAAGCGUAGGGGCCUUUUGGGACCCGAAAGAUGGUGAACUAUACUUUGGAUAGGGUGAAGCUCAGAGGAAACUCUGGUGGAGGCUCGCAGCGGUUCUGACGUGCUGCAAAAUCGAUCGUCAAAUCUUGAAGUAUGGGGGGUCGAAAAGAUCUAAUUCGAACUCAUUCUAGUUAGUCUGGAUUACUCGGCCCGAAAGUUUCCCCUCUCAGGG